GGCUAUAUAGCUCAGUUGGCUAGAGCACGCGGUUCAUACCCGCGGUGUCGUAGGUUCGAAUCCUACUAUAGCCACCA
rnacentral:tRNA from 1 species